AAUGAAGACAACAAUCCUAAAUGGAUAGAGAAGUGCUUGAAUAUUGGGACUGCAGGAUGUGAAGGCACUGUACUGAGCAUAGGAAAAUUAUUAAGCCGGCACAGUGCCAUUAAAGUACCUUCUUUUAAGGUACAAGCAUUGCAAUAACUCAUCACAUUCGCUCUGUAUUUAAAGGGACAGCUCAUCAAAAAAUUAGCACUGUUUUAUCAUUCAACCUUUAUGUUGUUGAAAUUUGUUUCAACUAUUACAUUGUUCAGACCAGAAAUUGUUGUAAUAAUACUUUUGAUUUGUGUAUUUAAAGGGGACAUUUCAUGAAAAACAGACUUUUCCAUGUUUAAAUGCUAAAAUCUGGUCUCUUGUGCAUCUGUCAACUCAGAAAACGUGAAAAAAGACAAAUCAUUAACUUUUUUUAUGUGAGCCUAUCUCUGCAAGCCUUUGAGAAAACGAGCGCUUCAGAAAUCGCGCUCUUACUGACGUAAGUAGUCGUUCUUAUUAUAAUAUUUCCGCCCAUUGUUCCACCCAUCGCGCCGCCGCCAUUGUUGUUUUCUCAUGUGUGAAGUUUCAACACCAUGGCGAAAGUAGCAACGCUUACAAACUGUUGUGUUGUUGGCUGCACAGAACAAUGUUCCCAGACUCACGGGAGAGAAGAGAGCGAUGGAUUUAUUUAGUUUUCAGUGGAAAUCACCCACACUGAGCGAGGCAAAGCUACAAAUAAAGACAUUGACCAGAGCAGAAAACAGCCAUCGCGAAUGAUGGAGAAGACAAGGACAGUGAAGAUGCCCUGGUUAAACGCAGACAUUGCAGACCUCUGGUGUUAGAUAGUGAUGAGGAAGAAGAUGAAGAGAAUUCUCAGAAAGUGGAAGACCCAAAAUCUGAGGAUGUUCAGAUGUCUGAUCAGGAGAGGAAAGCUGAUGAAUUAAAUGAAGAUAAGGAAACUAUCAGGGAA